rnacentral:rRNA from 1 species
CCUACGGGUGGCAGCAGUGGGGAAUAUUGGGCAAUGGGCGCAAGCCUGACCCAGCAACGCCGCGUGAAGGAAGAAGGCUUUCGGGUUGUAAACUUCUUUUCUGAGGGACGAAGACAGUGACGGUACCUCAGGAAUAAGCCACGGCUAACUACGUGCCAGCCGCCGCCGUAAUCCGUAGGUGGCAAGCGUUAUCCGGAUUUAUUGGGGGUAAAGGGCGUGUAGGCGGGAAAGCAAGUCAGAUGUGAAAGCUCAGGGCUCAACCCGGAGCCUGCCUUUGAAACUGUUUUUCUUGAGUGCUGGAGAGGAAAGUGGAAUUCCGUGUGUAGCGGUGAAAUGCGUAGAUAUACGGAGGAACAUCAGUGGCGAAGGCGGAUUGCUGGACAGUAACUGACGCUGAGGCGCGAAAGCGUGGGGAGCAAACAGGAUUAGAUACCCGGGUAGUC